rnacentral:rRNA from 1 species
AUUGAACGCUGGCGGCAGGCUUAACACAUGCAAGUCGAGCGGGGUGGUGUAGCUUGCUACAUUACCUAGCGGCGGACGGGUGAGUAAUGCUUAGGAAUCUGCCUAUUAGUGGGGGACAACAUUCCGAAAGGAAUGCUAAUACCGCAUACGCCCUACGGGGGAAAGCAGGGGAUCUUCGGACCUUGCGCUAAUAGAUGAGCCUAAGUCAGUUUAGAUAGUGGGUGGGGUAAAGGUCUACCAAGGCGAAGAUCUGUAGCGGGUCUGAGAGGAUGAUCCGCCACACUGGGACUGAGACACGGCCCAGACUCCUACGGGAGGCAGCAGUGGGGAAUAUUGGACAAUGGGCGAAAGCCUGAUCCAGCCAUGCCGCGUGUGUGAAGAAGGCCUUUUGGUUGUAAAGCACUUUAAGCGAGGAGGAGGCUACCGAGAUUAAUACUCUUGGAUAGUGGACGUUACUCGCAGAAUAAGCACCGGCUAACUCUGUGCCAGCCGCCGCAGUAACAC